UGAAUGUUGACAGGCAUGAGGACAGC
rnacentral:piRNA from 1 species